GAUGAAGAACGUAGCGAAAUGCGAUAAGUAAUGUGAAUUGCAGAAUUCAGUGAAUCAUCGAAUCUUUGAACGCACAUUGCGCUCCCUGGUAUUCCGGGGAGCAUGCCUGUUCGAGCGUCAUUACAACCCUCAAGCUCUGCUUGGUGUUGGGCCCCGCCGCCCCGGCGGGCCCUAAAGUCAGUGGCGGUGCCGUCCGGCUCCGAGCGUAGUAAUUUCUCUCGCUUUGGAGGCCCGGGUGCGUGCUUGCCAUCAACCCCCAAUUUUUUUCAGGUUGACCUCGGAUCAGGUAGGGAUACCCGCUGAACUUAAGCAUAUCAAAAGCGGAGGA
rnacentral:misc_RNA from 1 species